UACGGGGGGGGUAAGCGUUGUUCGGAAUUACUGGGCGUAAAGGGCUCGUAGGCGGCCAACUAUGUCAUACGUGAAAUCCCUCAGCUUAACUGGGGAACUGCGUGUGAUACUGGAUGGCUUGGAUUUGGGAGAGGGAUGCGGAAUUCCAGGUGUAGCGGUGAAAUGCGUAGAUAUCUGGAGGAACACCGGUGGCGAAGGCGGCAUCCUGGACCAAUAUUGACGCUGAGGAGCGAAAGCUAGGGGAGCAAACGGG
rnacentral:rRNA from 1 species